AACAAACGCUGGCGGCGUGCCUAACACAUGCAAGUCGUACGAGAAAGGGUCCUUCGGGGCCUGAGUAAAGUGGCGCACGGGUGAGUAACGCGUGGAUAAUCUGCCCUUCAGUUGGGAAUAACUCAUCGAAAGGUGGGCUAAUACCGAAUAAUGCUGUGAGACCUCGGUUGAUCAGCCAAAGGGAGCCUCUGCUUGCAAGCCCUCGCUGAAGGAUGAGUCCGCGUACCAUUAGCUAGUUGGUAGGGUAAUGGCCUACCAAGGCGACGAUGGUUAGCUGGUCUGAGAGGAUGAUCAGCCACACUGGAACUGAGACACGGUCCCGACUCCUACGGGAGGCAGCAGUGAGGAAUCUUGCGCAAUGGGGGCAACCCUGACGCAGCAACGCCGCGUGAGUGAGGAAGGUCUUCGGAUCGUAAAGCUCUGUCGGAUGGAAAGAACCGCAUAGGGGUAAACAGCCCCUGUGUCUGACGGUACCAUCAAAGGAAGCACCGGCUAACUCCGUGCCAGCAGCCGCGGUAAAAC
rnacentral:rRNA from 1 species